UGGCGGCACUAGCGCGGUGGUCCCACCUGACCCCAUGCCGAACUCAGAAGUGAAACGCCGUAGCGCCGAUGGUAGUGUGGGGUCUCCCCA
rnacentral:rRNA from 1 species